rnacentral:rRNA from 1 species
AGCAGCCGCGGUAAUUCCAGCUCCAAUAGCGUAUAUUAAAGUUGUUGCGGUUAAAAAGCUCGUAGUUGAAUUUCGGGACCAAUAUGUCGGUCGUGCCUCGGUACGUACUGGCAUCGUUGGUUUCUCCCUUCUGAAGAACCAUGAUGUCAUUUAUUUGGUGUCGUGGGGAAUCAGGACUGUUACUUUGAAAAAUUAGAGUGUUUAAAGCAGGCUCACGCUUGAAUACAUUAGCAUGGAAUAAUGAAAUAGGACGUUUGAUUCUAUUUUGUUGGUUUCUAGGAUCGACGUAAUGAUUAAUAGGGAUAGUUGGGGGCAUUAGUAUUCAAUUGUCAGAGGUGAAAUUCUUGGAUUUAUUGAAGACUAACUACUGCGAAAGCAUUUGCCAAGGAUGUUUUCAUUAAUCAAGAACGAAAGUUAGGGGAUCGAAGACGAUCAGAUACCGUCGUAGUCUUAACCAUAAACUAUGACCGACUAGGGAUCGGAUGAUGUUAAUUUUUAAUGUACUC